GACAGAGGAGCCAAGCGUUGUCCGGAUUGACUGGGCGUAAAGCGCACGCAGGCGGUCGCGCGCGUGGGGUGUGAAAUCUGGCCGCUUAACGGCCAGGCGCCAUCCCAUACGGCGCGACUGGAGUGAUGCAGAGGUCGAUGGAAUUGCCGGUGUAUUGGUGAAAUGCGUAGAGAUGCGGAGGAACACCGAUGGCGAAGGCGGCCCUCUGGGCCAACACUGACGCUCAGGCACGAAAGCGUGGGGAGCAAACAGG
rnacentral:rRNA from 1 species